UACGUAGGGUGCGAGCGUUGUCCGGAAUUAUUGGGCGUAAAGAGCUCGUAGGCGGUGUGUCACGUCGGCCGUGAAAACCUGCAGCUUAACUGUGGGCUUGCGGUCGAUACGGGCAUCACUGGAGUUCGGCAGGGGAGACUGGAAUUCCUGGUGUAGCGGUGAAAUGCGCAGAUAUCAGGAGGGAACACCCAGUGGCAAAGGCGGGUCUCUGGACAGUUCCUGACGGCUGAGG
rnacentral:rRNA from 1 species